rnacentral:rRNA from 1 species
UGGGGAAUUUUGGACAAUGGGCGAAAGCCUGAUCCAGCAAUGCCGCGUGUGUGAAGAGGCCUUCGGGUUGUAAAGCACUUUUGUCCGGAAAGAAAUCCUUGGCUCUAAUACAGUCGGGGGAUGACGGUACCGGAAGAAUAAGCACCGGCUAACUACGUGCCAGCAGCCGCGGUAAUACGUAGGGUGCAAGCGUUAAUCGGAAUUACUGGGCGUAAAGCGUGCGCAGGCGGUUUGCUAAGACCGAUGUGAAAUCCCCGGGCUCAACCUGGGAACUGCAUUGGUGACUGGCAGGCUAGAGUAUGGCAGAGGGGGGUAGAAUUCCACGUGUAGCAGUGAAAUGCGUAGAGAUGUGGAGGAAUACCGAUGGCGAAGGCAGCCCCCUGGGCCAAUACUGACGCUCAUGCACGAAAGCGUGGGGGAGCAAACAGGAUUAGAUACCCUGGUAGUCCACGCCCUAAACGAUGUCAACUAGUUGUUGGGGAUUCAUUUCCUUAGUAACGUAGCUAACGCGUGAAGUUGACCGCCUGGGGAGUACGGUCGCAAGAUUAAAACUCAAAGGAAUUGACGGGGUCAUAGCUGUUUCCU